UCCGAGACGGUUGACAUCUGAGUGGUCGAAAUUCUGCACAUAUGAUACAUCUGCAGAAAAUAUAAUCUGCCAACAACUAUUGCAUCCAUCCACUGGUGCUUUUUGCCAUUGAGCAAAAUAAUUAACACAGCUCGUUCCGCUUGAUAAAAGCUUAUAAAAAUUCGUCUAAGCCGUCAUUAUUCAUACAAAAAUAAUACGGAUGAACGGAUAGAAUCCUAACUCUUGUAGUGGAUUUUGAUUCCACGAAUCCGUCAUAUUUUGGCCAGCGGAGGCAGACUAUUUCGUGUCGUGGACUGGCAUCUCUGGGUCUGUUGCCUGCAGAACAAGAACCAAGAAGGCGACAGCAUUGGAUUGCAGUGCAUCUCUGGCCUGAGCACUCUUGUACCACUGUGCCGAGCAGCGCAAGUCUUUCCGCCGUCUCCUCUUCGUCGCAGCAUCCUCAUCUUCUCCAGUGUGUACCAGUGUAGUGUCUAAAAAACUGUCUAAAAUACACUAUGACCAUAAAAAAAAAAUAAUAAGUUAACAAUAAAAGGUCAUACAAUCGACGUGUAGUGUACAGGCGCAACAGUGAAGUUGUAAAAGCCAACAAAAAAAACAAAUUGGGAAAAAAAAUUUUUUAAAUAAAAGAUAAAUAUAUAAUAAUUUAUUUAUAAGAAGAUACUUGAAAAUAUUAAAUUGUGAUUUGGCACUUAUUUUUUUUUGCGCUAUCAUUUUUUUUUUUUGCUUUCUUCUGUUGCCAUUGUGUCCUAGGUCUUAAAGGGUAUAGUAUGUUCAAAUCGAAACAUUUUCGUUAAUAAAUAAUUAAAUAAAUAGUGAAAAUAAUAAAAAAUAUUAUAAAACCAUAACCACAAAAUAACACUGUGCUGCAAAACGACAAUAAUUACAAUAAAGUGAGUGCGUCAAACAAAACGAGAUAUAUAUACCCUAUAAAGUAUAUAAACAAAAAAAAAAACAUUAUCAA